AGUAAUACAUCGGAACAUACCCUAGGGUGGGGGAUAACGUAGCGAAAGUUACGCUAAUACCGCAUACGCACUAAGGUGGAAAGCAGGGGAUCGCAAGACCUUGCGCUCAUGGAGUGGCCGAUGUCAGAUUAGCUUGUUGGCGGGGUAAAAGCCCACCAAGGCGACGAUCUGUAGCUGGUCUGAGAGGACGACCAGCCACACUGGGACUGAGACACGGCCCAG
rnacentral:rRNA from 1 species